AACGUAGGGGACGAGCGUUGUCCGGAUUUAUUGGGCGUAAAGAGCGCGCAGGCGGCUUCGCAAGUCGGGUGUGAAAAUCCGGGGCUCAACCCCGGACCUGCAUUCGAUACUGCGUGGCUAGAGGCAGGCAGGGGAGAUCGGAAUUCCUGGUGUAGCGGUGAAAUGCGCAGAUAUCAGGAGGAACACCGGUGGCGAAGGCGGGAUCCUGGGCCAGUACUGACGCUGAGGAGCGAAAGCGUGGGGAGCAAACAGG
rnacentral:rRNA from 1 species